AAACAUAAUCAAUUUCAAAACAAAAAACCACCUUUAAAGUUCCUACACUUAACCAUUUUAAACCUAACGAGUCACAAAAAAUAAUAACUUUCAAAAUAAAAAAUCACAUUAAGGUCUCUACACUUAACCAAUUUUCAACCUACCAAGUCACCAAACAUAAGCACAUUCAAAACAAAAAAAAAUAUAUUUAAAGGCCCUACACUUAACCAUUUUCAACCAUCAAGUCAACAAACACAACCACUUUCAAAACAAAAAUUCACCUUUAAAGUACCUACACUAAACAAUUUUAAACCUAUCAUGUC
rnacentral:lncRNA from 1 species